GGGGAUGUAGCUCAGUUGGCUAGAGCGCUUGACUGGCAGUCAAGAGGUCGUCGGUUCGAAUCCGAUCUUCUCCACGA
rnacentral:tRNA from 1 species